UCUCUUGGGCUCAUCAUCUCUUUGUGCCGCCGCCACCAGUAGAGGCGGCCGCGACGACGCCAUGGCCGCCACUUGACCGGCCUCCGACGGACUCGCCUACCGCCAGCCGCUGUGGAAGAAGGUCGUCGACCCUCCGCCUCCUGUUCCUGUAGUCCUGUGACCUGUCCCGUCCGGCCGUGCAGCCGCCGCCCUCGGCUUCGGCACUCCGGCGCUCCGCAGACCGCAGUGGUACAUGGAUUCAUCCGAGACGCCCGCUGAUGGCACCUCAGGAGCAUCGUUAGAGACCCAGUUAUCGCAGGUGCGGACUGUUGUGCAACAGAGAUGCAGAAAUAAAACUGAUCCUGAUCCGGCAUGGGCACAUCGAUCACCGGUCCGGUUUUUAAAACUAUGGCUCCAUCGUGCCGUCAUGUGGUGGUCGCGUUGCCUCGGCGCCUCGCCGUUCUGCGUCCUAGCCCGCGUGUAGCGGUCACGCUCGUGCCAGCGCGUGCCGCCCUCUCGCUCGCGCCCUUGCUGGCCUCGCAACCCGCGCUCGGCCUCGCCCUCGCCGCGCCUCGUCGCGUGCCGGCCACGACAUGUCGGCCUCACACUUGUCAGGGUUGUGGAGGAGAUGGGGAGUUUGGGGCUAAUUUUGCCUCUGUUAGCUACUAAAAUAGAUGUUAUUAGAGGAUUACUAGAUACGAGAUAAUACUAUUCACACUAAUCCAAAGCUACCAAAUAUAUGUAAGUUGUAUCUGCUCAAAUUUGUAAGAAACCAAAUAAAAUGGCAUUUGAGUAUCUA